rnacentral:rRNA from 1 species
CCUACGGGAGGCAGCAGUGGGGAAUAUUGCACAAUGGAGGGAACUCUGAUGCAGCGACGCCGCGUGAGUGAAGAAGGUCUUCGGAUCGUAAAACUCUGUCCUUGGUGACGAAAAAAAUGACGGUAGCCAAGGAGGAAGCCCCGGCUAAUUACGUGCCAGCAGCCGCGGUAAU